rnacentral:rRNA from 1 species
CCUACGGGUGGCAGCAGUGGGGAAUAUUGCACACUGUGGGGAACCCUGAUGCAGCAACGCCGCGUGGGUGAAGAAGUACUGCGGUAUGUAAAGCCCUGUCAGCAGGGAAGAAAAUGACGGUACCUGACCAAGAAGCCCCGGCUAACUACGUGCCAGCAGCCGCGGUAAUACGUAGGGGGCAAGCGUUAUCCGGAUUUCCUGGGUGUAAAGGGAGCGUAGACGGCAAGGCAAGUCUGGAGUGAAAGCCCGCGGCUCAACCACUGGACUGCUUUGGAAAAUGUGUUGCUGGAGUGCAGGAGGGGUAAGCGGAAUGCCUAGUGUAGCGGUGAAAUGCGUAGAUAUUAGGAGGAACACCGGUGGCGAAGGCGGCUUACUGGACUGUAACGGACGUUGAGGCUCGAAGGCGUGGGGAGCAAACAGGAGUAGAUACCCUUGUAGUC